CCCUUAGACGUUCUGGGCCGCACGCGCGCUACACUGAUUCAUGCAACAAGUUUUGUCCUUGGCUGAUAGGCCUGGGUAAUCUUUGAACGUGAAUCGUGAUGGGGAUAGAUGAUUGCAAUUAUUCAUCUUCAACGAGGAAUUCCUAGUAAACGCAAGUCAUCAGCUUGCAUUGAUUACGUCCCUGCCCUUUGUACACACCGCCCGUCGCACCUACCGAUUGAAUGGUCCGGUGAAAUCUCGGGACGGCGGCUUGGUCGCUUGCGUCCGACUGCUGAAACUUGAUUAAACCAUAUCAUUUAGAGGAAGGUGAAGUCGUAACA
rnacentral:rRNA from 1 species